UCGUCUCUUUCUUUGAGUCGAUGUAGUUCUUUUCUGUUGUUUUAUAUUAUGAGGAAUCUUAAUCCUGCUGCCCUGAUUUCAUUAUUGGUUGGUAAAUAAGUUAAAAUUACCAUGUGAAAUGUAUUGCCCCCACUUUGCAUUUUCUUUUACCCUUGGUUUAUUAUUCAAUGAAACUUUUGUUUGGUUUGGAUGUUAUUCACAUUGUUGUUGUUAUUAUAUUGUUUUUAAAAUUUUAUAAUCGAAGUAGUUUAUUAAAGACUGUUAAAUUGUUGUAUAUUUGUAUUUAAUUUAAUUCUGUAGUGCACCAUUUCUGUGACAAAUUAAAAUUAAAAUUGUUGGAUCAAGUAUUUCAGAAUUUUGCUUUCUUCCAUAGUCAUGGUGCCUCCUAUAGUUUAGUUUUUCUUUGAGCUAUAAUUCCUUUUAGUUUUGUUAGGAAAAAAGGCUUGCUUGAAUUUUUAGUUUCCCCAAUUGACAUCCUUGCUUGAAUUUUUAGGAUUUGACUAGAUAGUUAGUUGCUAUAUUUCUCUUUGGUCCUUGGAAUUUAAGCCUCCUAAGUUUUACGGAGAGCCACUAAAUUGCCUUANAUAUGUAUAAUAUCCCCUGUGACGCAAGGGUGUAACCCCUUUCUCAUAAGCAUUCUAAAGGCUAGUUUAAGNUGGCCUGACCUCCUCCUUGAUAUUUGAAUGUUACUAUACUGUUCUGAUAGUGGAUCCCUUACUUUGACAAUGAUCUUCAUGUACCAUUGUUUCUGAACUUAUUGAGUUCCAUUUCCUGAUUAGAGGGAAGUGUAUUUGGUCCUGAUAGAAAUCAAGAACCACCGCUAAAUUGAGAAUCUAAGAGAAAACAGAAGAGAAGUUAGUGAGAUAUCUCAUUCUGACUUUUAACAAAAUUAUAAGUUCUUGAGUACAUGCCAACUGGCUGACAGCUAAGCAAACUUUUAUAUAUUAUUCUGUUUCAAGUCCUCUAAGAACAAAUUUUAACUAAACUAUUGUUGACACCCUGGAAGAAGCCGCACAACUAAAAGAUAGAGCAGAUAAUUAUAAGAACUCUGGGUUUGACUUUGAAAGCAAUGAGACAUACUUUCGAGCUGGGUUGAAGUUUUUGCAUGGAGCAUCUAUUUUAGAAAAUUGUGACAAUGACAGUAACAAACUUGGGGAAAUGAGUCAAAUGCAAAUUUAUGGUACUGCGGCCAAACUUUUCAAGUACUAAUGUGAAGAUAGCUUCUGCUCCAUCCAGCGUGGUAAUUCUCUCCCCAAAUAACUUUGAUGAGAUUGUCAUGGAUGAAAUAAAAAGAUGUUCUAGUGGAAUUCUAUGCACCAUGGUGUGGUUACUGCAAGGCCCAUGCCACAGUAAAGAUGUUCUUCGGUCACUCCUAUUAUAGCUUAUAGUUAUUGUAUCUUAUAAUUCUGAUAUAAUUUCUUUACCUCCAUCUUUUAGUUGUUUUAUCUUUAUAACUGAUAUAAUUUCUUUUAUUAAAAUAUACAAGUGUCCAUAUACCAAAUUGUUUUU